GACGAACGCUGGCGGCGUGCCUAAUACAUGCAAGUCGAGCGGAACUGGGGGAGCUUGCUCCUUCCAGUUUAGCGGCGGACGGGUGAGUAACACGUGGGCAACCUGCCCUGCAGAUCGGGAUAACUCCGGGAAACCGGUGCUAAUACCGAAUAGUUUGGCGCCUCUCCUGAGGCGCUACGGAAAGACGGUUUCGGCUGUCACUGGAGGAUGCGCCGGGGGCGAAUUAGCUAGUUGGUGGGGUAACGGCCCACCAAGGGGACGAUGCCUAGCCGACCUGAGAGGGUGACCGGCCACACUGGGACUGAGACACGGCCCAGACUCCUACGGGAGGCAGCAGUAGGGAAUCUUCCGCAAUGGACGCAAGUCUGACGGAGCAACGCCGCGUGAGUGACGAAGGUUUUCGGAUCGUAAAACUCUGUUGUGAGGGAAGAACACGUACCAACUAACUAUUGGUACCUUGACGGUACCUCACCAGAAAGCCACGGCUAACUACGUGCCAGCCGCCGCCGUAA
rnacentral:rRNA from 1 species